GCCCGCUUAGCUCAGUGGUAGAGCAUUGUACUUAUGAGGCACCCCUAUUACCUAAGCAAAAGAUGCAAGGGUCGGCAGUUCGAUCCUGCCAGUGGGCA